CCCGCGCUGAGAGCUUUGAGGCCGAGGGUCAAGCGGUCCUGGGAGACGCUGGCCGCUCUAGAGCCUGCUUCCAGAUGGAAAAAAGUAGGGGACAGGAAAUGAAGCAAAACAAGUUGUCACCGCUCUCAUGUGAGGGUUGGGAUCAAGAUAAUGGAAUAACGGGACGUGGAACUCACCUCUCCCUCAUGAAGAUAUUAAAAAUAUCUCCAUAUGAUGAAAAUUUUCACUGGGAGCUGGCAGAAGGACUUCUGUACAACCAAUACUCAUAUUUUGCAACAGCAACGAAGGAUCCAAGCUGCAUCUGCGACCUACACCACAGCUCAUGGCAAUACCAGAUCCCUGACCCACUGAGCAAGGCCAAGGAUCAAACCAGUAUCUUCAUGGAUACUAGUCAGAUUCAUUUCCACUGUGCCACAAUGGGAACUCCUUCUGCUAUAUCUAAGUGUUAUUUUCAAGAUAUUUAUCUACCUUAUCUUAUUUAUAUCAUUCCUGGUGAUAAUAAUUUUUUUCUCUCUUUUUCUUCCUCGUAAGUCUAGCUAGGUUUAUUAAUUUGUUGAUAUUUUCCAUUGAUACUUAAAUUUCACUGAGUUCUGGUCUUAUAUUCAAUCUUCCUUAUGUACCCUUGAGUUCUUUUACUUCCUUAGAUAAAAACUUAAGUAACUCACUCUAAGUGUUUUUCUAAUAUAAAUAAUUUAAGACAUAACAUUUCCUGAAAGCACUAUGUUAGAUGUAUUACACAAAUUUGGUAUGCUGUAUUUUUAUUAUUAUUCAUGAUUUUCCUUUUGAUUAAUUCAUUCACCUAUAUAUUAUUUUGAAAUGAGUUGUUUAAUUUUCAAAUAGUUAUCAGCUUAAAGAUACUUUAUUAUAACUAAUUUAUAAUUUGAUUUUAUAACGGUCAGAGGGUAUACUCUGUGUGAUUUCAAUUCUUUUAAAUUUAUUGAGACUUGUUCUAAAGCUCGGCAUAUUGUUAUCCUAGUGAUUUUACCAUUUGCAGUUGAAAAGAACAUGUAUUCUGUAUUUCUCUGGUGUAAUGCCCUAUAAAUAUCAAUUAGUUUUGUUGGUUAAUAGUGUUGUGCAGGUCUUUUAAGUUUUCAUUAUGUAUGUAUGUAUGUGUUACUCUCCUUGUUCUAUCAAUUGCUGAAAGGGAGGUUCUUUAAUCUUCAAUUAUGAUUGUGGAAUUGUCAAUUUCUUCUUUAAUUCUUUAAAUUUUUUUCUUGAAUUUUGAAACCCUGUUUUUAGAUACAUUGAAGAUUGCUAACAUCUUUCUAUAUUUAUAUCAAUAUUCAAAAUAAGGUAUUAUUAUGAUGUCUAUAUUUAUCUAUGAUUGUAGCUGUUUUUUUGAAGACUACUAUGUCUACUACUGAUAUUGCCACUAUAAUAGGCUUUCAUGUGCUGACUGUUUGAUUCAUGUAUUUUUCUAUCCAUUAAUUUUUCGUUUCUGUACCUUUAUUUUUGUUUUUAUUUACUUAAAAAAUUUUUAUUGUUAUUUCCCCAAUACAAUUUUUUUCUACUGUACAGCAUAGUGACCCAGUUACACAUACAUGUAUACAUUCUUUUUUCUCCCAUUAUCAAGCUCCAUCGUAAGUUUUUAAAGUGCAAUGCCUAUAUAUAGUAUAUAGUCAGGCCUUGUUAUUUUAUCCAUACGGCAAAUGUCUGGCUUUUAAAUAAUCUGUUGGAUACUUAGAUAUAAUUAUUUACAUAAUUUUUAGUGGUUUUUCUGGAUUACAGUACAUAUCCUUAACUUUUAAGUCUAUUAGAGUUAAUAUUAUAACAUCUCAUAUUAAUGUAGAAACAUUGAAAACUUUAGGCCCAAAUACUCUAUUUAUAACAUUUGUGCUAUAGUUUUCAUAUGUAGUAAGCAUAUCUUUAUAUGUUAUAAAUCCCACUAGUGAUAUAACCUUUAGUUUAUCAUUCAUAAGUAUAAAGGAAUUAAGAUAAAACAUUUUGUAUACUUUAUUCCUCAUUAGUAUACAAGUUUUCAGUUGGUAUAAUUUCCCUUCAGCCUGAAAAACUUUCCUUAACAUUUCUUAUAUUCCAAGUGUGGCAGUGACAAAUUGUCUUCAUUUUCUUUUACCUUAAAAUAGCUUAAUGUCACCUUUAUUUUUGAAGCAUGUUUUCACUUUUUAUAAAAUUCUAAGUCAAUAGUUUCUCUUUCACUGUUGAGUUUUUAGAGUUCUUUAUAUGUUUUAGGUACUAGUCCAUUUUUGGAUAUGCAGUUAGCACAUUUUUGUUCCAAUCUGUCUUUACAUUUUUUUCACAGCGUAUUUUGCAAAGCAAAAGUUUUUAAUUUUGAUGAGGUCCAUUAUAUCAAUUUUUCCUUUUUAUGUAUUAGGAUAUUAUUACCAAGUCUAAAAAUUAUUUGCUUAGUCCUUGAUCUGAAGAUUUUUCUCCUGUUCUUUUUUUUCUAAAAUUUUUAUAGUUUUAAGUUUUACAUUUCAAUAUCUGAUGCAUUUUGAGAUAAUUUUUGUGCAAAGUAUGAGAUUUAGGUUGAGGUUUAUUUUUUUUGCUGUGGACUUCCAAUCACUUCAGCACUAUUUGUUGAAAAAGCCAUGCUUCCUCCAUUGAAUUCCUUUUCUAUAUUAAAAAAAAUAAGUUCA
ensembl:lncRNA